rnacentral:lncRNA from 1 species
UAUAUUAACGAAGUUAUAAAAAUGAAACAUAUUGAUGAAAUGGUAAUGAUGGUAAAAGAGACGGAGGAAGAAGAAGAAGAAGAAGAAGAAGAAAAAAAAAAAAAGAAGAAAAAGAAGAAAAGUUGUUUUUGUCAGGUGACAAAAAAGAAAACAAACAAAAUGGCGAAUCUAGUGAAAAAAAAAAACAAAAAAAUAUAACUACAAUAGCGUUAGUAACGAUUAUAAAAGGAGGAUAAAACAUAUGGGUAUAGAUAUAUAUAUCGAAUUUUAUUUACCUUAUAUAACUAUAUUAAAAAAUAACAAAAUAAAUGAGUUAGUAAAAAAAAAAAAAGAUAUGUUAUAUGUGUUAAAUUUAUGUGAAGAGUUUAUAAAUAUAAUUAAAUAUAAAAUAGAUUACAAGUCUAGUGAAAAAGACAUAUUAUUAAAUUUGUUUAAUAAAGAAUAUGAAGAAAUAACAUUCAAUUCUUUUAAUAAACUUGUUAAUCAAGUUCAAUGUUUAUUUCAAAAAAUGAAUAUAAUAAUACCUAGUAAUUCUGAUUACGAUGGUAUGUAUAAUAACAAUUUACCAACCGUUUCGGAUAUUCAAAAAUAUGUAGACGCAUUUUAUAACGAAUUAUAUAUAUAUAUAUAUUACCCUUAUAUUUUUACAAGAAUUAUAAGUACUUGUAACAAUUCUUUAUUGCUAUUAAGUAAUAAUUUAAACAAUUUAAAAAAAAAAUUAAAUCUUCACAUUGAUGUGGACACAAAAAAUAAACAAAUAACCAUUGAUUAUACAUAUAAAAAUUUUAAAUUUAAUUUGGAAUUAUUUUUAAUUAGUAAACAGCUGUUAAUAUAUUUGAUAAAUACUUUAAAAAAAUUAAAAAAAGAAAUUAUAAAAAUAAAAAUAAAGACUUAUAAAAUGUGUUGUAUGUAUUAUUCAAGUGAUCAAAUAAAAAACAAAAAUCUGAGUGAUCGUUUUUUAUCAAAAGGGGAGGAGAAGUACACAAUUAUGGCAGAUCUCUACAAACAAAAUAUGUCAACGAUACAACACAAAAUUACAACAGACCAUUCCAAAAAAAAAAUAAAAACAAAUGGCGUUCUCCACAAUAUUUUAACAGAUAACAAGAACCUAAUUGCUUUAUCUUUUGAUGAAUUCUUUUUUGAAUUUUUUACUUUUCAAGAUUAUUUAAACAGUUACUUUUGUAAUAGUGGUGGUGAUAGUGGUGAUGAUGGUGAUGAUGGUGAUGAUGGUGAUGGUGGUGAUAAUCCCCAAAAAAAUGAAUUAAAAAAGGAGCAUAUUAAUUAUAAAAAAAUCGCUAAUCCAGUGGAAAUAAUAAAAAAGGAGACAAUUUUUGAAGAAAAUAAAAAAGAAAAAAAUAAUAAUAAAAAUGAUAGUUUUAGUAACAAAAUGGAAGUUAACAAUGUGUCACUUUUGAACAAGUCUCAAAACUGUAUAAACCCAAAUUUAUUUGAAUUGGAUUUUCUUCUUGAUUUUAAACAUAAUUUUUUUAAUUUAAAUAAUUCGUACAAUAUUUUUGAUAAUGAUGAAGAAAAAAAGAAUUAUGAAUUGAAUUCUUUGUUUAUUAAAGAAAAAUGUCAAUUUUUGUUAAAAAAAAAAAAAAAAAAAAAAAAAAUAUUUUUCGAUUUAAAUGAUUUAGAAAAGGGUAUAAAUGAAUUUAAUAAUGCAGUAAAUUCAUGUAUACAUGAAUGUUUCGAAUGUUUUGAAAAAACGUCUAAUUCUUUUUUAAAAACUAAUUGUAACAUUAUAAGUACCAUAGAUGUACAUUCUUUAUUUGAUAAAUUGUGUGUACAUUUUUAUAAUAACAUAAUACAAAAUAUACCAUUAUAUGAAUGUACCUAUAUAAUCAAUAAUUUAAUAAAUAAAAUCUUAGUUUAUUUAAUAGCUAUAUCAGCUUAUUACUUAAUUAAUGAUAUGGAUUUAUUUAUAUUUAAAUAUUAUAAGUCCUUAGAAAAAAUUACUAAUGCUACUAAUGCUGCUGAUACUACUAAAUCUAGUAAUGCUGCUGAUGCUACUAAUGCUAGUAGUGUUAAGUUAUCUUUUUUUAAAUUUUAAUUAUAAGUUAUGUUAUCUUUUUAAAAAAUCAAUAAAUAUUAAAAAUAAAAAAGAGCCGUAUCA